rnacentral:misc_RNA from 1 species
GAUGAAGAACGUAGCGAAAUGCGAUAAGUAAUGUGAAUUGCAGAAUUCAGUGAAUCAUCGAAUCUUUGAACGCACAUUGCGCCCCUUGGUAUUCCGAGGGGCAUGCCUAUUCGAGCGUCAUUAUCACCCCUCAAGCCUAGCUUGGUGUUGAGACCUGCUGUCAAGGCAGUCUCUAAAAUCAGUGGCAGUGCUGUCAGGCUCUAAGCGUAGUAAAUCUAAUCGCUAUAGACACCUGGUGGACACUCGCCAGAACCCCCCCAUUUUUUAAUGAUUGACCUCGGAUUAGGCAGGGAUACCCGCUGAACUUAAGCAUAUCAAUAAGCGGAGGA